rnacentral:tmRNA from 1 species
GGGACUGAUUCGGUUUCUACGUAUUGAAUUGUAUUUAAUUAAUAGUUGAUUUAUGAUUGUACUUUUUUUAAACGCAAAAAAUAAUAUUUUAUCUUUUUCUAAAAAUUUAGUUAACGUAUAAAUUUUGGAACAUUAAAUUAUUCUUUUUUACUUAAUUUGAUGUAUUCAGUAUAAUGCUCUCAUUGUUGAUUUCUAUAUAACAAAUAGCAUCUUAAUGAGUUAAGUAUACAUUAAAUGAAAAUCAUUAAGUUUUAAGUUAUUGAAAAUCAACUUGUAUAUAAAUUUAAUAUAUAAUAUCAAUACGGACGUGGGUUCGAAUCCCACCAGUUCCA